GCAUUAACCAAUAGCAGCCCGAGUCAUGAUGAGUCUCUUUAGACUUCUUAUUCACUCGCGAUUAAGUUAGCAUUCAACAUCCUCACUCAUAUGCUCGAUAAACCCCGAUCUUCACUGAAUCUUGUAUGCCCAAAACGUUCGCCCCAUUGGACGAGCAAAACCCUAGCAGCCCUACGUCGACAUCAUUCCGCUUAUUCCACCAAAGAACGCUGCUCGUGGGUCCUUCGUUUCUUA